AUGGAUUAUCUCCACUUGAACAGAUACAGAGAAGAUACAUUUAAAUUGAGCUGGCACAAUGGCAGAAAGAUGGAAGAGUGCGUGAAUGAGGGAAGGCGCAAGAGACGGAGAGAGAAAGAGAAACAGACACGAGAUCGGAGAGCGUGGAUAAGCUGGUUCUUGGAGAACUGUGUCUCAGAAGAGCUACAGCUCCCUCUUCAUGUCACAGUUAUUUUAACAUGAACAUCAGUAAGGAGGAAAAGAAUCCUUUUGAAAAACUUUGGUGUCUGCAAGGCAGUCCUAAAGAAAGCCAGAAAGCCAAGUGACUUAUACAAAGACGAGAUCUACCUGAACUCACAACCCUAAAAAAAAUGGGUCUACAUGCACCUGCUAUCACUCAAGAAGUACGUAUAUUAUUAACUUGUAUAUACAGAUAUAACUAUUCCAAGGAAAACUGCAAUAAUUUGUUGUUUCAGGUUAAGUAAAUAAAAAUCCAACACUCUUAAAAAGUUAUCCCAAAUAUUUAUAGUGUUUAAGAAAUUUGAGAAAUAGUACUGAUUUUGACAAUUUCUGGCAUAUGCCCAUCCUACUUCUAAUCUUUGACUUGAAGCAAUAGUUUCCCCACCUAUAAGUACAGGUUACAAAUACUAAGUGUAUAAGGGUUCUGGUGCAUAUGUCAACAGAAUGGAGGAAGACCAAGAGAUCAUGGCAUUUGCUGACUGAGCUGUAUUUUAGUUUCUUUUACAAUCAAUUCUUUUAUGUAUCCUUUCACUCACUUCUUUAGUAAAUAUGUAUUCAGUGUCUACUGUCUGGGGAUGCUGUGGUGAACAAAGAGAGACUUGUUUCCUUUCCUUGUGGGAUUUAUUAGCUAGCAAGGAAUAAGUAACUAUAUUAAAUGAUAUGCAAGAUUGCAAAACCUGCAACAAUAAUUGGUAACUUCUAUAGAUGAGUGGACCCUACUUUCUCAUCUCUUGAUUCUGGACUGGAUUUGUGACUUACUUUGACCAAAAGAAUUUGACAGAAGUUAAAUUACAGCUGUCUUCCAGGGGUCUUGCAGCCUCUGCUCGCUCCCUGAAACAUGACUGCUGCUACGGACAUGAUCUCAGGCCAGCCUAUGGAGGAUGAGAGAACAUGAUGAAAGACCCCAGUCAUCUCAGAAAUCUCAUAUGGGGGCAUCAUAACUUAUUCAGCUCCUGCUGACCCCCUAGUAAAUUACAGAUGCAUGAGCCAGUCCAGCUUAGUGGUCAAUCAAAGCCAAUCAUUAACCUGCAAAAUCAUGAACUAAAUACAUGUGUGUGUGUGUGUGUGUGUGUGUGUGUGUGUGUUUUUGGUUUGGUUUGGUUUUAAGUCACUAACUUUUGGGGCUUCUACAAAAGCAGAUUAACACAAAUGACAAAAAGAGUUAUGAUAGGAAUAAACUUAGGGCAAGGAGGACAGAGACAUGUUAAUCCAAUCUAUUGAUGUCAGGGAAGUCUGCCAGAAGGAAAUGACAUUCAACCUGAGAUGGAUGGAGCCAGAGUGGCAGCUAGCUAAUGACCUUGACCUCAGUGAUGUACAAGCUUCAUAGGUAAGAAGGCAUUCCUACCAUAUACAUCAGAAAUAACUGCAGAUAUUCAAGCCCAAAACCUUGAAGUUGCCCUUGACUUUACUUUUGCAUCUCACAUAAAAUCCCCUGUAAAUUCUGUCAUCUUUACCUGAAAUACAUCUAGGAUCCAGCCGAUUUCACCAUCCCCACUACUGCUCUUCAGAUACAGACCCCAUAGUCACCUGAAUUGGCUCCUUAUGUCCUAUGGUCUGUGGAAUAUCACAGACUUCCUGCUUCCCUGGAGUCUUUUUCCACCACAGAAACUAGAAAGAGCCAGCACAAGUUAGAUCUUGCCAUUCCUCUGCUAAAAACCCUGUGUAGUGAGUGGAAUUGUCCCCACCAUCCCAGAAGUUAUAUUCAUAUUCUAAUCCCUAAAAUCUGGGAAUGUGACCUUAUUUGAAAAACCAACCAACCAACCAACCAAAGAUUUUUGAAGAUGUAAUUAAGGAUCUGAAGAUGAGAUCCUCUUGUAUUAUCCAGAUGGGCUCUAAAUCCAGUGACAAGUGUCCUUAUAAGAUACAGAAGGAGAGGAUGCAGUGACACUGAGGAGAAGGCCACCAGAACACAGAGGCACAGACUGGAGUGACAUAGUCCCAAGCCAAAGAAUGUCUGGAGCCAUGGGAAGCCAAAUGAGGUAAGGAGGAAUUCUCCUUUAGAGCCCUUGGAGGGAGCACAGAUCUACUAACACCUUGAGUUUAGACUUCCAUCCUCUAGAAGAACUAAGGGAAAAUACAUGUCUGUGGUUUUAAGUAACGUAGUUUGUAGCAAUCUGUUAUGGCAGCCCCAGGAAAGUAAUACAUCUUCCAAAGGUUUCUUAUGUCAUUCAGAGUAAAACAUAACCGUUGAAGUUCUAACAUUGGCUCACAAGGCCAUGCCUGGACUGCCUGCCCCUACACCUGACCUCUCUGACAUCAUAUGAAGCGCUCUCUCUGUUCUUGGCAUGUGAGCCUCUCUGAUCUUCUUACUGUUCCUACAACACAUAAGGUAUGCUGCCUUCUCAGGGCCUUUGUGUU
rnacentral:lncRNA from 1 species